rnacentral:rRNA from 4 species
GGGUUGUGAGGUUAAGCGACUAAGCGUACACGGUGGAUGCCCUGGCAGUCAGAGGCGAUGAAGGACGUGCUAAUCUGCGAUAAGCGUCGGUAAGGUGAUAUGAACCGUUAUAACCGGCGAUUUCCGAAUGGGGAAACCCAGUGUGUUUCGACACACUAUCAUUAACUGAAUCCAUAGGUUAAUGAGGCGAACCGGGGGAACUGAAACAUCUAAGUACCCCGAGGAAAAGAAAUCAACCGAGAUUCCCCCAGUAGCGGCGAGCGAACGGGGAGCAGCCCAGAGCCUGAAUCAGUGUGUGUGUUAGUGGAAGCGUCUGGAAAGGCGCGCGAUACAGGGUGACAGCCCCGUACACAAAAAUGCACAUGCUGUGAGCUCGAUGAGUAGGGCGGGACACGUGGUAUCCUGUCUGAAUAUGGGGGGACCAUCCUCCAAGGCUAAAUACUCCUGACUGACCGAUAGUGAACCAGUACCGUGAGGGAAAGGCGAAAAGAACCCCGGCGAGGGGAGUGAAAAAGAACCUGAAACCGUGUACGUACAAGCAGUGGGAGCACAGAGCAAUCUGUGUGACUGCGUACCUUUUGUAUAAUGGGUCAGCGACUUAUAUUCUGUAGCAAGGUUAACCGAAUAGGGGAGCCGAAGGGAAACCGAGUCUUAACUGGGCGUUAAGUUGCAGGGUAUAGACCCGAAACCCGGUGAUCUAGCCAUGGGCAGGUUGAAGGUUGGGUAACACUAACUGGAGGACCGAACCGACUAAUGUUGAAAAAUUAGCGGAUGACUUGUGGCUGGGGGUGAAAGGCCAAUCAAACCGGGAGAUAGCUGGUUCUCCCCGAAAGCUAUUUAGGUAGCGCCUCGUGAAUUCAUCUCCGGGGGUAGAGCACUGUUUCGGCAAGGGGGUCAUCCCGACUUACCAACCCGAUGCAAACUGCGAAUACCGGAGAAUGUUAUCACGGGAGACACACGGCGGGUGCUAACGUCCGUCGUGAAGAGGGAAACAACCCAGACCGCCAGCUAAGGUCCCAAAGUCAUGGUUAAGUGGGAAACGAUGUGGGAAGGCCCAGACAGCCAGGAUGUUGGCUUAGAAGCAGCCAUCAUUUAAAGAAAGCGUAAUAGCUCACUGGUCGAGUCGGCCUGCGCGGAAGAUGUAACGGGGCUAAACCAUGCACCGAAGCUGCGGCAGCGACGCUUAUGCGUUGUUGGGUAGGGGAGCGUUCUGUAAGCCUGUGAAGGUGUGCUGUGAGGCAUGCUGGAGGUAUCAGAAGUGCGAAUGCUGACAUAAGUAACGAUAAAGCGGGUGAAAAGCCCGCUCGCCGGAAGACCAAGGGUUCCUGUCCAACGUUAAUCGGGGCAGGGUGAGUCGACCCCUAAGGCGAGGCCGAAAGGCGUAGUCGAUGGGAAACAGGUUAAUAUUCCUGUACUUGGUGUUACUGCGAAGGGGGGACGGAGAAGGCUAUGUUGGCCGGGCGACGGUUGUCCCGGUUUAAGCGUGUAGGCUGGUUUUCCAGGCAAAUCCGGAAAAUCAAGGCUGAGGCGUGAUGACGAGGCACUACGGUGCUGAAGCAACAAAUGCCCUGCUUCCAGGAAAAGCCUCUAAGCAUCAGGUAACAUCAAAUCGUACCCCAAACCGACACAGGUGGUCAGGUAGAGAAUACCAAGGCGCUUGAGAGAACUCGGGUGAAGGAACUAGGCAAAAUGGUGCCGUAACUUCGGGAGAAGGCACGCUGAUAUGUAGGUGAGGUCCCUCGCGGAUGGAGCUGAAAUCAGUCGAAGAUACCAGCUGGCUGCAACUGUUUAUUAAAAACACAGCACUGUGCAAACACGAAAGUGGACGUAUACGGUGUGACGCCUGCCCGGUGCCGGAAGGUUAAUUGAUGGGGUUAGCGGUAACGCGAAGCUCUUGAUCGAAGCCCCGGUAAACGGCGGCCGUAACUAUAACGGUCCUAAGGUAGCGAAAUUCCUUGUCGGGUAAGUUCCGACCUGCACGAAUGGCGUAAUGAUGGCCAGGCUGUCUCCACCCGAGACUCAGUGAAAUUGAACUCGCUGUGAAGAUGCAGUGUACCCGCGGCAAGACGGAAAGACCCCGUGAACCUUUACUAUAGCUUGACACUGAACAUUGAGCCUUGAUGUGUAGGAUAGGUGGGAGGCUUUGAAGUGUGGACGCCAGUCUGCAUGGAGCCGGCCUUGAAAUACCACCCUUUAAUGUUUGAUGUUCUAACGUUGGCCCCUGAUCGGGGUUGCGGACAGUGUCUGGUGGGUAGUUUGACUGGGGCGGUCUCCUCCUAAAGAGUAACGGAGGAGCACGAAGGUUGGCUAAUCCUGGUCGGACAUCAGGAGGUUAGUGCAAUGGCAUAAGCCAGCUUGACUGCGAGCGUGACGGCGCGAGCAGGUGCGAAAGCAGGUCAUAGUGAUCCGGUGGUUCUGAAUGGAAGGGCCAUCGCUCAACGGAUAAAAGGUACUCCGGGGAUAACAGGCUGAUACCGCCCAAGAGUUCAUAUCGACGGCGGUGUUUGGCACCUCGAUGUCGGCUCAUCACAUCCUGGGGCUGAAGUAGGUCCCAAGGGUAUGGCUGUUCGCCAUUUAAAGUGGUACGCGAGCUGGGUUUAGAACGUCGUGAGACAGUUCGGUCCCUAUCUGCCGUGGGCGCUGGAGAACUGAGGGGGGCUGCUCCUAGUACGAGAGGACCGGAGUGGACGCAUCACUGGUGUUCGGGUUGUCAUGCCAAUGGCACUGCCCGGUAGCUAAAUGCGGAAGAGAUAAGUGCUGAAAGCAUCUAAGCACGAAACUUGCCCCGAGAUGAGUUCUCCCUGACUCCUUGAGAGUCCUGAAGGAACGUUGAAGACGACGACGUUGAUAGGCCGGGUGUGUAAGCGCAGCGAUGCGUUGAGCUAACCGGUACUAAUGAACCGUGAGGCUUAACCUUACAACGCCGAAG